CCAUCCCUAUCCGUUGUCAGUGAUCUCAGUAGUGAUCCAUAGUGCAGUAUCAACAAAGCUGGGCAAUGAUAUUCAACGGUAGAGUUUUGUCUGUAUUGAAGAAUCAUCCAGCCACGGGUGUGAUUCUCACAGUUUUAUUC